rnacentral:misc_RNA from 1 species
CUGCCCCGCCUCUUCACUUGCGGUUUCCCUCUCCUUUCACGGAACCACUUACCCUUACACCCCUACCUCCCACAAGGUACCACGCCUGAUCUCUCUGCCGCUGCCUCGCAGGCUCCUCUUUUUCUUUCCACGUCGCCACCGCUACCGCCUAGCGUCCUCCUCAAGAUAGAUUACCCCGCAGCCAUGAGCGCCUCCCUCAAGAAGACGGCACUCCACAGCUUCCAUCUCGCUCAGCAAGCGAAGAUGGAUGCAUUCGCGGGCUAUCACAUGCCCAUUUCCUAUGGCAGGUUUGGUGUGCUGAAGGAGCACUUGUACACUCGCCAGGUCGCCGGCAUAUUUGACGUAUCGCAUGUGGGUCAGUAUGAGGUUCGCGGCGCGGACCGUGAGAAGUUCAUGGAGCACGUCACCCCGGUGGACCUCCAGCGCACCCGGGCCGGACAAGGGGCGCUGACUAUGCUGACGAACGCGCAAGGAGGCAUCAAAGACGACUGCAUCGUGACGAGGAUGGCCGACCAUCUGUUCCUUGUGCUGAACGCUGGGUGUAAGGAGAAGGAUGUGGCGCACAUGGAGCGUGUGCUGCGUGAGGGCGCGAUGAAGGGUGCGGAUGUGCAGCUUGUGCCGCUGGAUCGCUCGCUUAUCGCGCUGCAGGGCCCGCAGGCCGCCGCGAUCCUCUCCGAGUUCAUGGAUGACGUGCCGGACAUGGGCUUCAUGCAGUGCCGCCAGAGGGUGAGCAUCAAGGGCAUGGAGGUGCAGGUGACGCGGUGCGGCUACACGGGCGAGGACGGCUUCGAAAUGUCUGUGUCGAACACGGACAUUGUAGCGUUUGUGGAGCUCCUCAUGUCGAGGAAGGCGGAAAUGAUCGGCCUGGGUGCUCGCGACAGCCUUCGUCUGGAGGCGGGGUUGAACCUGUACGGUCACGAGCUGACCGAGGAUAUCAACCCUGUGGCGGCUCGCUUCAUGUGGGCGAUUUCGAAGCGCCGAAUGGCGGAGGGCGGCUUCAUUGGCUACGAGCCGAUUAAGUACUUCCGGGACAACGCUAGCAAGGGCGCUGUGCCGCGGCUGCGAGUGGGCCUCGUUUCCACUGGUCCGGUUGCUCGUGAGAAGACUGUCAUCGAGGUGGGUGGGAAGCCGGUGGGCGAGGUGACCAGUGGCUGUCCGUCUCCGUGCUUGAAAAAGAACAUCGCCAUCGGCUACCUCGACCGUAAGCUGGCCAAGGAUGGCGCGAAGGUGGACCUGGUUGUGCGGGGCCGCCGCGUGGCUGCUGAGGUGGUCACUCCGCGAUUCGUGCCUACCCGGUACUACCGCAAGCUCCAGUAAAGCGAGACAACGAAAGGCGGACCCCUACCAGGCAAAGUAUCGCAUCAUAACUCAAAGCCAUGGUGAGGUGUGGAGCAAGCGAGCGAGAGAGAGGAGGCACGCACAGACUGUGAUGAAGAACAUGCAGAAGAAGAAAGCACCCUCUAGGUAUAUUUGGUGACGAGCGGUGAAGGCGGUAGGGAGUGCCUGUAAGUGUGUGGGUGGCGCACAUUGGCGCCCUGCCCCCAUACCCGCUUAAUCACCUUCCCCCACCGCUUUUCUCGUUUCGACUGUUCCAGCUUCGUCGCCAUGCUCUACCGCCUCUCUUUCCGUUAUCAUGUGUUUUUAUCUUUUAUUGGAUUUUACUUUUAGCGGACGUGCGUGCUCAUUUACUGUCGUGCGCGGUCUUGCGUCUCCUCUGCCUCUUUCGCUUUUCAUGCGACUCUGCGCUUCAGCGAUUCCCUCGCGGAGCACGUUGGAAGAAGGGUAGACGGAAGGCACGCUUCAAUGGAAGGACGGUGAAACACACACGCCUGUAUCUAGUUGCUGAGGAUCAUGAGUGUAUCAAGUGCACGAAGCAGACAAAGAAAGAGCAUGGCGUCGUGACGCUUCACUCUACCCCGCGUGCAUGCUGUCCUUCUCUCUCAGUGAAACGCCCUGCUCAUUUUUUUUUACUUGCCAUUGGACUGCUCUGCUCUGCUCUCUCACGCUGGAUGACGUCUUGUGGUGUCUUUGCGUUAACGUUGUGCUCUUUUUAAAGUUUGAUGUCUUUAUCCCGCGCGCGCGCUCUCUCUCUGUGUGUGCGUGUGCCCCUUUCCGCCUUUGUGCGCCUCUGUUGUGUCUUAUGUUUUCGUCUCUCGUUCUCGCUACCCUCCCUAACGCGCACCUCACCGAGGCAACAGUCGCUGCCGCGUCUCGUUUUCUCUGUAUUUUUUUUUUUUUUGGGAGGGGGGAGGCUUUCAGUCUUUGUGUCUUGAAUGUGUCUUGCUGCCUCGGCCACACGUUCCACGCUUCAUUCCUUUGAUUUUGUUUUUCAAUUUAGCGACGCAGUGCAUGAUAACUGUGCAACUUUUGUUGUGUCUCUCUUCGUCUGCCAAGACACACGCGCACACGGGAGUGAAGGAAAGAAGAAGAAGCAAACGAAAAGGCAAUGCUGGCAAGCAAGUUUCACCCUCCUCCCUCGCCCUCCCUUCUUCUCCGCCUCCGUCAUCUCCAACCCUCGUCAUGCCUGGCAGUGUCCCCCUCAGCGAGAAGACGAAAGUAAAAAGUCACAGGAAGGGGAUGGCGGUGAUGGGGGACGAAGGAGGUGAGGGAAAGGUGGCGGACUCUGAGGUAACUUGAGACCGUACUCAUGUGCGCCACAAUUGCUUCUCAUUCGCUUCCAAGCGCUCUCUCUCCGCUGCUCACUCUCUCUUCCCCCCACCUCUUCUUCCGUCCCCACUGAACGGCUUAUAUUCGUUCUUCUGGACGUGACUUGUCGGGUGCGUGGUGGGGUGGGGCGAGGGUGGGUGCUGGUGCAG